UUUUUUUUUAAUUUAUUUAUUUAUUUUUAAGGGGAGAAGGAAACAGCUUCAAGCUUCAGACUUGGCAGUUAUUUCUUGGAAAUGAUACCAAAAACACAGGCAACAACAAAAAAUAGAUUUUACUUUUGUUUAUCAAAAGAUAUUGUCAACACACUGAAAAGGCAGUCCACAGAUUAGGAGAAAUAUUUGCAAAUUAUGUAUCUGAUAAGAGGUUCAUGUUCAAAAUAUAUAAAGAAGCAACAACAACAAAAGCAUGAUAAAUUGGCAAAGGAAUUAAAUAGACAUUUCUCUAAAUAAGACACACAAAUGACCAAUAAAGGCAAGAUGCUUAGCAUCACUAAUCAUUAGGGAAAUUCAAAUCAAAACAACAAAUACAUAACUACUCCACUCCCAAUUUAGUAUAGCUAUUAUCAGAAAAAGUAAAUGUUGGCAAGAAUGUAUAGAAAUUGGAAAUCUUAAUAAAACUGGUGGGAAUGUAGAAGAGUGUAGCCACCAUGGAAGACAGUACAGUAAUUCCUAAAAAUAUUAAAAACAGAAUGAACAUAUGACCCAGCAAUUUCAUUUUUGGGUAUAUACCAAAGGAAUACUUUAUUCAUAGCAUGAUUCACAAUAGCCAAGAGAUAGAAACAGCCUAAAUGUCUUAUCAGAUGAAUGGACAAACAAUAUAGCAUAUACAUAAAAUGGAAUGCUAUAAAAAGGAAAGAUUCUGAUACAUGCUUCAACAUAGAUGAACCUUGAAAAAGUUAUAUGAAGUAUAAAAUCCCACAUAUAAAAGGACAAAUACUAUAUUCCAAUUAUAUGAAAUACUUAGAAUAGUCAAAUUCAUAGAGAUAGGAGUAGAAUGAAGAUUUCUUGGGGCUAAGAGUCAGGAGUGAUGGACAGUUAGUGUUUAAUGGACAUAGUAUUGGGGAAUAUGAAAAAGUUUUGGAGAUGGAGGGUGACAGUGACUGCACAGUAAUGUAAUUGUUUUUUUUUUUUUGUUUGUUUGUUUGGUUUGGGUGGGAGGUAACAGGGAUUGAACCCAGGGGCACUUAACCACUGAGCCACAUUUCCAGUCCUUUUUAUUUUGAGACAGGGUCUUGCUAAGUUUUUUAGGGCCUCAGUCUCCUGAGCCACUGGGAUUACAGGCAUAUGCCACCCACAUCUGGCAUGAGUGUUCUUAAUGCCACAGAAUUAUGCAAAUUUUUUUUAGUUGUAAAUGAACACAAUACCUUUAUUUUAUUUAUUUUUAUGUGGUGCUGAGGAUCGAACCCAGUACCUUAUAUGUGUGAGACAAGCACUCUGCCGCUGAGCCACAAUCCCAGCCCCAGAAUCAUGUACCUUUAAAUAGUUAAAUUGGUAACUUUGAUGUGUAUUUAACCACAGUUUUAAAAAGUAGUGAGAACAUUCUUACGGUGAAAUAUUUUUUAAAGCUUAUAAAACAUUGACAUUAACAUGAACAUUUAUAUUUAUUUCUUUCAAUUUUG
rnacentral:lncRNA from 1 species